rnacentral:rRNA from 1 species
CAAGGAAGGCAGCAGACGCGUAAAUUACCCAAUCCUGACAUUGGGAGGUAGCU